UAAAAUAAAUAUGACGGUAUUAACCUUUACAAAGGAAUUUGUUUUUUAAUCGAAAAUACACGACUUACCUUACUUAAUAAAUAUUUGUAUACCACCGUAUUCGAAAUUAUUUAAUAAUAACAUCAUAAAAAAUAAUUUUAUAAAAUCAGGUCAAGGUGCAAUUUUAUUAAGAUAAAAUGAAUUACAUUACUUUAUAUUUAAAUAUAAAAACUGAAAAUUAUUAAAAAUAGAAUUUGUUAGUAAAAUUUAAUCAUUAUGUUAAAUUGAAAAUAUAAAUUAAUAUGU
rnacentral:rRNA from 1 species